GUUCAGCAGGGGUUGGUUCCCUGUUUAAGCAUGUAGGAGGAGUUGCCAGGCAAAUCCGGCAGCUCUUAACUCCGAGGUGUGAUGACGAGGCUCCACGCGAGCCGAAGUGAAUAACGCCCCGCUUCCAGGAAAAGCCUCUAAGCUUCAGAUCACAUUGGACCGUACCGUAAACCGACACUGGUGGGUGAGCAGAUAAUCUGCCAAGGCGCUUGAGAGAACUCGGGUUAAGGAACUCUGCAAAUUGAUACCGUAACUUCGGAAGAAGGUAUGCCUUCGACGGUGUAGGGAUUUACUCCCGAAGCUGUUGAAGGUCGCAGGUAAUCGGUGGCUGCGACUUUUAUCAAAAACACAGGACUCUGCGAACACGCAAGUGGAAGUAUAGGGUCUGACGCCUGCCCGGUGCCGGAAGGUUAAUUGAUGGGGUUAGCCGCAAGGCGAAGCUCUUGAUCGAAGCCCCGGUAAACGGCGGCCGUAACGAUAACGGUCCUAAGGUAGCGAAAUUCCUUGUCGGGUAAGUUCCGACCUGCACGAAUGGCGUAACGCUGGCCACACUGUCUCGACCCGAGACUCAGUGAAGUUGAAAUCGCUGUGAAGAUGCGGCGUUCCCGCGGCAAGACGGAAAGACCCCGUGAACCUUCACUACAGCUUUACACUGAACUUUGAACCUUUCUGUGUAGGAUAGGUGGGAGGCUAUGAAACUUGGGCGCUAGCUCGAGUGGAGCCAACCUUGAAAUACCACCCUGGGAUGUUUGAAGUUCUAACCUUGGUCCGUAAUCCGGAUUGGGGACAGUGUAUGGUGGGUAGUUUGACUGGGGCGGUCUCCUCCCAAAGAGUAACGGAGGAGUGCAAUGGUACGCUCAGCGCGGUCGGUCAUCGCGCUCUAGAGUGCAAAGGCAUAAGCGUGCUUAACUGUGAGACAGACACGUCGAACAGGUACGAAAGUAGGUCUUAGUGAUCCGGUGGUUCUGUAUGGAAGGGCCAUCGCUCAACGGAUAAAAGGUACUCCGGGGGUAACAGGCUUAUUCCUCCCAAGAGUCCACAUCGACGGAGGAGUUUGGCACCUCGAUGUCGGCUCAUCACAUCCUGGGGCUGUAGCAGGUCCCAAGGGUAUGGCUGUUCGCCAUUUAAAGUGGUACGCGAGCUGGGUUCAGAACGUCGUGAGACAGUUCGGUCCCUAUCUGCCGUGGGCGUUGGAAACUUGAGGGUGAGCUGUCCUUAGUACGAGAGGACCGGGAUGGACGUAUCUCUGGUGUUCCGGUUGUCACGCCAGUGGCACUGCCGGGUAGCUAUAUACGGACGGGAUAAGCGCUGAAAGCAUCUAAGCGCGAAGCCCCCCCCAAGAUUAGGUUUCCCUGGGAACUCGAUUCCCCUAAAGGGCCGUCGGAGACUACGACGUUGAUAGGCUGGGUGUGUAAGUGCAGCAAUGCAUUGAGCUAACCAGUACUAAUUGCCCGUGAGGCUUGACCG
rnacentral:rRNA from 1 species